rnacentral:rRNA from 1 species
UACGUAGGGGGCAAGCGUUAUCCGGAUUUACUGGGUGUAAAGGGAGCGUAGACGGCGAUGCAAGUCUGAAGUGAAAGGCGGGGGCCCAACCCCCGGACUGCUUUGGAAACUGUAUGGCUGGAGUGCAGGAGUGGUAAGUGGAAUUCCUAGUGUAGCGGUGAAAUGCGUAAAUAUUAGGAGGAACACCAGUGGCGAAGGCGGCUUACUGGACUGUAACUGACGUUGAGGCUCGAAAGCGUGGGGAGCAAACAGG